rnacentral:rRNA from 1 species
UGAUCCUGCCAGUAGUCAUAUGCUUGUUUCGAAGAUUAAGCCAUGCAUGUCUAAGUAUAAGCAAUUUAUACGGUGAAACUGCGAAUGGCUCAUUACAACAGUUAUAGUUUAUUUGGUGAGGGAAAUUACACGGAUACCCGUGCUAAUUGCAGAGCUAAUACGUGCUAAACACCUGACUUCACGGGAGGGUGGUAUUUAUUAGAUUUCGAACCAAUGUGCUUUCCCGGCACGAUGUGGGUGAUUCAUAAUAACUGAACGGAUCGCAAGGUUUAUCCGGCGACAGAUCAUUCAAGUUUCUGACCUAUCAGCUUUCGACGGUACGGUAUUGGGCCUACCGUGGCUUUGACGGGUAACGGGGAAUUGGGGUUCGAUUCCGGAGAGGGAGCCUGAGAAACGGCUACCACAUCUACGGAAGGCAGCAGGCGCGCAAAUUACCCAAUCCUGACACAGGGAGGUAGUGAACACAAUAGCAGCGCAGCGCGUUUAACGUCUGCGACUGGAAUGAGUAGAACUUAAAACCCUUUACGAGUAUCAAUUGGAGGGCAAGUCU